rnacentral:rRNA from 1 species
GUGUCAGCAGCCGCGGUAAUACGUAGGUGGCAAGCGUUGUCCGGAUUUAUUGGGCGUAAAGCGCGCGCAGGUGGUUACUUAAGUCUGAUGUGAAAGCCCACGGCUUAACCGUGGAGGGGCAUUGGAAACUGGGUGACUUGAGUGCAGAAGAGGAAAGUGGAAUUCCAAGUGUAGCGGUGAAAUGCGUAGAGAUUGGGAAGAAUACCAGUGGCGAAGGCGGCUUUCUGGACUGCAACUGACGCUGAGGCGUGAAAGCAUGGGGAGCAAACAGGAUUAGAUACCCUGGUAGUCCAUGCCGUAAACGAUGAGUGCUAAGUUUUAGGGGGUU